GCCUCAGUAGCUCAGUUGGCAGAGCAACCGCCUUGUAAGCGGUAGGUUCGUGGGUUCGAACCCCACCUGAGGCU
rnacentral:tRNA from 1 species